rnacentral:rRNA from 1 species
CAGUAGCCGCGGUAAUACAGAGGAUGCGAGCGUUAUCCGGAAUGAUUGGGCAUAAAGUGUCUGUAGGUGGCUUUUCAAGUCCGCCGUCAAAUCCCAGGGCUCAACCUUGGACAGGCGGUGGAAACUACCAAGCUGGAGGACGGUAGGGGCAGAGGGAAUUUCCGGUGGAGCGAUGAAAUGCGUUGAGAUCGGAAAGAACACCAACAGCGAAAGCACUCUGUUGGGCCGACACUGACACUGAGAGACGAAAGUUAGGGGAGCAAAUGGGAUUAGAGACCCCCGUAGUCCCUGUCUCUUAUAC